rnacentral:rRNA from 1 species
AAUGAACGCUGGCGGCAGGCCUAACACAUGCAAGUCGAACGAGUGGCGGACGGGUGAGCAAUGUCUGGGAAACUGCCUGAUGGCGGGGGAUAACGACGGGAAACGGUAGCUAAUACCGCAUACCAUCGGAUGUGCCCAGAUGGGAUUAGCUGGUAGGUGGGGUAAAGGCUCACCUAGGCGACGAUCCCUAGCUGGUCUGAGAGGCUGACCAGCCACACUGGAACUGAGCCGCGGACAAGACACCUACGGGAGGCAGCAGUGGGGAAUAUUGCACAAUGGGCGCAAGCCUGAUGCAGCCCUGCCGCGUGUAUGAAGAGGACCUUCGGGUUGUAAAGUACUUUCAGCGGGGAGGCGUUACCCGCAGAAGAAGCACCGGCUAACUCCGUGCCAGCGGCCGCGGUAAUUC